rnacentral:lncRNA from 1 species
UUCUUUUCUUUUCUUUUUUUGUCUUUUUUCUUUUACAUCCAUAUUUACAAAAUACAAAUAAAAAUUCAAUACUAAAUAAAAAAAUUACAUCAACAACUCAAAAUUACAAAAUAACCCUAAAAUUCAAGAAAAACAAAUCUGAAAAGCAAUCUGGGUCUGCUUGAACAGUGUCGAGGGAGGCUGCUAGGCGCGUGAACAGUGCUUGGACAGCGGCGGCGCGUGGGUUCACGCGCCGCCGCGAGAACGCCGGAAAAAAUGGUUGGCCGGAUUCUGCUUCUUCCUCUUUUUCCCUCCCCGCAGACGGUAAGAAACCACAUCAUCUACAACAAAAACAAACACACAAACAGUCGAUUUUAAGCUUUUAUUUCUUUGUUUUUUUCGGAUCUGAUUUUUGUUCUUUCUUUCUUCUCCGAUCUGCUUUGGAUCUGCCCCUCUCUGCAAAUCGGUCUGCUAUGUGUUUCUCCUUCUUCUCCGGUGGCAGCUCUGCUGUGGAGGACCAAAUGUGGUGAGUGAGGAGGCGGCGUUGCUGCUGUAGCCUGCGGGGAUGAGGGAGGAGCUGUGUGCGGGGUGGUCGGUCCACGGUGGUUGAGAAAGGAGAUGGACGGUGGGCUGUGCAAGGGCUGAGGAGGCAACCUCGAAAGAGGGAGAACCGGCUGAGGGAGGGGGCAGCUGUGUUUGGCCGGUUGGAGAAGAAAAAAUCAAAGCCAAGGGGAAGGAGAGGAUGAGCGGCGGCUGCAAGCGGGGAAAGGAAGAAAAGCUUUUUGGGUGAUGACGGGGGGGGCUUUGGGAAAUGACAGUGAAGAGGCUGGGCUGUGUGAUCGGGAGAGGAGGAAAUAAAAAUCAGUUGUGGCUGGUUGAAGAAGAAACAAAAAAAA